rfam:Rhodnius prolixus Rhodnius_prolixus-3.0.3-450.6, whole genome shotgun sequence.
AACUUUGCACAGUGGCAAUAUCGUAACCAAUGAAAGCCUCCUGAGGUGCGGUUAUUGCUAGUUGAAAACUUUAAUAACGGAGUAUCUCUAAAGACUCUCUAAGUCUUUAGUUUUAAAUACGGAUUUCCUUAGUAU